CUGAAAGGGAUCGGAUUCACGCCGGUUAACCGGAAAUCGACGGUGAAGCUAGGUUACAAGGAAAAUUAACAAAGCCAUUUGAAAUAGAUUACAAAGCAGAAAAGAAUUCAGGCAUGGGAAGAAGACAGUGGAAGCCGAAGACCUCCUACUUCGACUUGACAUCGGCAAGGGCAGAUCUGGUUGUUCAUGACAUCACCACACCAGGGUGUCCAAUUCCAUCACAAGCUUCUUUGACGGUGUACCGUUAGAGCCCCCACCUCGGAGGUGUCCCGCGGCCAACAAACGUCGGUUUCCACGGAAGAUCUGAUUCCCGAAUCUGUAACUACUACGUCGACUUCAUGGCUCUGUCGUUUCACAAGUCUGAGCCACCAUGUACUCCCCUCCUUCAACUGGUCAAGGUGAUCCUGCGCCGGACAAGAGAUAACCCGAGAAGAACCGCCAUCUCCCAGUUAGCUUUGCCAUCAACGGACUCAACCCUUACUCUACAAACCCUAGCAGAUCCUGGUGACUAACCAGCAGAUCUUGUCUUGGCUCCAUCGUCCACAAAUAGAGAACCAGCCUAUGACCCGACGAGGCAGCAGAAACCGCCGAGCUCUCCUAGAGGUUCGCCGCUACAUGGACCCAAAAUCGAGGAGCAGACGGAAGGAAGCACCUCCAAACACCAAACGAAGGUAGAUCCGUCGUUGAGCACAGAGAUACGACUCCCUCCUCGCCGCAUUUCGAAAGAAGCUCAAGAUCGAACCAUUCGGCAAAGAUCCCAGACGGCUCAGAACUGCACGCAUGUCGGAGAGGGAAGAAUACAUGAGGGAAAUGAGCAAAACAAACAUAAAAAGUGAAGGUUGACGGCGAUGAAGAACAGCCGCCGACCGCCGUACACAUCAAAUUAGGAUUUUCUUUUGUUGAGAGAGAUGAGAGAGACGGGAAAGUAAGGGAAAGGUUCCCACCAAUAUGUAACUCAAACCAAGGCUUUAUAUCGGUUUAUCCCGAAUUUCUUUCAUUAAUGUUGUUUCAGUCUGAAAAAGAAAAAGAUUAUACUUGAACUUCGAUAAGAUACUAGUGAACAUCUUUUUAGUGGAAAUGUAACAAUAAUAAAUAUAAAAAGAAGUAGAAAGUAGGAAAGUGGGAGGCUGGGUUUGGUUCAUUGAACACUCCUUACCAUAAGCAAUAUCUCAGCUUCGGGUUUAGGUUCGGUAGUAGUCGACUUUUGUGCGGAUAAGAACGCCUCUUCGUUCUUGUUUCUACACGCGCAUGUCUUUCUCCUUUGCU
rnacentral:lncRNA from 1 species